GACGAACGCUGGCGGCGUGCCUAAUACAUGCAAGUCGAACGCACUCUCGUUAGAUUGAAGAAGCUUGCUUCUGAUUGAUAACAUUUGAGUGAGUGGCGGACGGGUGAGUAACACGUGGGUAACCUGCCCUAAAGUGGGGGAUAACAUUUGGAAACAGAUGCUAAUACCGCAUAAAACCUAGCACCGCAUGGUGCAAGGUUGAAAGAUGGUUUCGGCUAUCACUUUAGGAUGGACCCGCGGUGCAUUAGUUAGUUGGUGAGGUAAAGGCUCACCAAGACCGUGAUGCAUAGCCGACCUGAGAGGGUAAUCGGCCACACUGGGACUGAGACACGGCCCAGACUCCUACGGGAGGCAGCAGUAGGGAAUCUUCCACAAUGGACGAAAGUCUGAUGGAGCAACGCCGCGUGAGUGAAGAAGGUUUUCGGAUCGUAAAACUCUGUUGUUGGAGAAGAACGUAUUUGAUAGUAACUGAUCAGGUAGUGACGGUAUCCAACC
rnacentral:rRNA from 1 species